AAUAAAUAAGAAUAAGAGUUAAUUUGUUUUAUUAAUUAUUUUAAAUAAAGUAAUAUAAAUUUUAUAAGUUAUAGUAUUAGUUAAGAAUAAAUAAAUUUAAUAUUAUAGAUAGUAAUGAAAAUGAAUAUGUUAGAUAAGUUAGGAAGUAAAUUUUAUUUAUUGUACCUUUUGUAUAAGGGUUAAUUAAUUAAAAUAUUUAAAUUUAAUAUUUCUCGAAUUUAAAGGAUUUAUUUAAAAAUUUUAGUUAAUGUAGAAAUAUUAUUAAUAAUUUUUAAAUGGAAGUGAAAUGUUAAUCGAUUUUAAAGAUAUCUAGUUUUUUUAGAAUUGAAUAUAAUUCAGAUUUACAAAUUAUAUUAAUAAGAAUUAAUUUAUAUAUAUAUGAAUUUGUAAAUUAAAUAUUUUUGGGAUAAACUAGGGGUAUAGGAAAUAAUUGAAAUUUUAAGUUAAGUUAUAAAAAUAUUCAUAAAAUUUGAAUUUUUUAAAGAAAAUGUUAUAAUUUAUAAUGUUAAAUUAAAGAUAAUAAAUUUAAAAAUUUAAUUUUUAUUUUUAUAAAAAAAAAUUAUCUAAUAAUAAAAUAAUAGAUAUAAUGAUUAAAUUAGUAAAUUUUAAUUAGUGUAUAAUUAAUAAAAUGUAAAUUUUAAUUUAUAUUAAGGAAUUCGACAAAUAAUUUAUUAUUAAUAAAAAUAUAUUCACCUGUUUAUCAAAAACAUGGCUUAUUAGAUAAAAAUAAUAGGUCUAUUCUGCCCAUUGAUUUAAAAAUUAAAAGGCUGCAGUAUACUGACUGUACAAAGGUAGCAAAAUCAAUUGUUUUUUAAUUGAAAACUGGAAUGAAAGAGUGAAUGAAAUAUAAGUUGUCUCAAUAUAAAAUAGUUGAAUUUAAAUUAAAAGUUAAAAUGCUUUUAUGAAUUUAUAAGACGAUAAGACCCUAUAGAAUUUAAUAAAAUUUAUUUUUUAAAAUUAAUAUAAUUAGAAGAUUUAAUAAAUAAAUAUAUUUUGUUGGGAGGAUAAUUAAAUUAAUUAAACUUUGAUAUAAAAUAAACAUUGAUGAAUGAGUUGUUGAUUAUUGUUAUAAUUAUUAGAAUAAAUUACCUUAGGGAUAACAGCGUUAUAAUUUUGGAGAGUUCAUAUUGAUAAAAUUGUUUGCGACCUCGAUGUUGAAUUAUGAUAAAAAUUAAAUGGAGAAAUUUAGUGUUUUAGUCUGUUCGACUAUUAAAAUCAUACAUGAUUUGAGUUCAGAUCGGUGAGAGCCAGAUCGGUUUCUAUCUAUAAAAAAAUUAUAUUUUAUUGUACGAAAGGACUUAAAAUAUUAAAUAUUUUAUAAUAAUUAGUUAUGAAACUAGUUUAUUGAAUAAAAUUAAGUAUAAUUAAUAAUAAAUUAAAAUAAUUAAAUUAUUUUAUAGUAGUAUAAAUAAUUAUUAAAUUUUUGUAAUAGAUGGUAUUUUUAU
rnacentral:rRNA from 1 species